GUCGAACGCUGGCGGCGUGCUUAACACAUGCAAGUCGAACGGUAAGGCCCUUCGGGGUACACGAGUGGCGAACGGGUGAAUAACACGUGGGUGAUCUGCCCUGCACUUCGGGAUAAGCCUGGGAAACUGGGUCUAAUACCGGAUAGGACUCCUGCCUGCAUGGGUGGGGGUGGAAAGCUUUUGCGGUGUGGGAUGGGCCCGCGGCCUAUCAGCUUGUUGGUGGGGUGAUGGCCUACCAAGGCGACGACGGGUAGCCGGCCUGAGAGGGUGACCGGCCACACUGGGACUGAGAUACGGCCCAGACUCCUACGGGGGGCAGCAGUGGGGAAUAUUGCACAAUGGGCGCAAGCCUGAUGCAGCGACGCCGCGUGAGGGAUGACGGCCUUCGGGUUGUAAACCUCUUUCAGCACAGACGAAGCGCAAGUGACAGUAUGUGCAGAAGAAGGACCGGCCAACUACGUGCCAGCCGCCGCCGUAA
rnacentral:rRNA from 1 species